CCUACGGGGGGCAGCAGUGAGGAAUAUUGGUCAAUGGGCUUACGCCUGAACCAGCCAAGUAGCGUGAGGGAAGACUGCCCUAUGGGUUGUAAACCUCUUUUGUCGGGGAGCAAAAGCCGGACGUGUCCGGCUGUGAGAGUACCCGAAGAAAAAGCAUCGGCUAACUACGGGCCAGCAGCCGCGGUAAUACGGAGGAUGCGAGGGUUUUCCGGAUUUAUUGGGUUUAAAGGGUGCGCAGGCGGAUUUUUAAGUCAGCGGUCAAAUCGUGGGGCUCAACCCCAUCCAGCCGUUGACACUGGGGAUCUAGAGUGUGCGAGAGGUAUGCGGAAUGCGUGGUGUAGAGGUGAAAUGCAUAGAUAUCACGCAGAACCCCGAUUGCGAAGGCAGCAUACCGGUGCACAACUGACGCUCAGGCACGAAAGCGUGGGUAUCGAACAGGAUUAGAUACCCCUGUAGUC
rnacentral:rRNA from 1 species